GUUUCUUUUUCUUUUCCUUUUUUACUGUUCAUCUUCUUCAUGCUGGGAGCAAGAUCGUGAGCAUCAUCCUCGUCAUGGUCAUGGUCAGGUCAUCAAUGGCGGCCACACGACCCAUCCUGUCCAUGUGGUCUCCCUCACCUCCGGCACUUACGGCAUGCUCAGGCUGGAUAGCGACGAGCGAGGGUUGCCUUCGCCACCGACGCCCCCGCAGCAACAAGAAAUCACCGUACAGAGCAGAAGAUUGAAGGGAGGUCGCCGGCUCGCGGCGAGGAAGCCCUUAAGUCAUCAAUGUGUGGGAGCUCAUGGAAGGCCUCGACGCUGGCGAACCAAAAUCGGAAGACUUCGAGCCCGAGGCCGCGGGGACUGCUCCGAGGUCUCGCGAGCAUCGACGCGAAGACUCCACUCAAGUUCAUGAACCAGAUUGGUUCUCCAAGGAAGGCAAACACUUAUGGAGGCAAGGAAAACAAGGGGAACGCAGAAAAUGGAUCGAAUCAGAUUCAGAUCUAGAACUUGAAGUUCUGACGGCGUCGAGCUUGAUAGCGAGGAGGUAGUUGAAGAACUGACGUUGCUGGCAUUGAGGAGGCCCAGAUAUUGGCUGGGCAGGGCUCAGAGGUCCAUGGUAGCAGAGACGGUGAAGGUGAGGCCAUGGCCGUCGAGAUUCGAGUGCUCGGUGACUGCAAUGAAGACGAAGGAGGAGACGUCGCCACCCUUUGGGUUUUUGAACUGGAACGGGAGUAGUAGAAAGUGUGGCCCAUCAGGCGACUCGCCUCGUUGGUGAGCUUGAGGACGCCAUUGUUGUUGAAGAAGAAGAUGGAGGUGAACUCAAGAGCUGCAACUUUCCUCAAAGUGCAAGCACGAAGAAGAUGAACAGUGAACAGAUAAAAAAAGAAAUAUCUUUGGACGAUUAUGCCCCUAGUUGUGUCGCCGGAAGAUUUGAGGUCCUUAUUUGAGACGAAAUGAUCACCUCGGACCCUUAUUUGAGAC